rnacentral:rRNA from 1 species
AACUGAUUUGCUUAAUUUUUUUAUGAGUUUAUAUAAUUUAUCUAUUUAAUUAAUAAUUAUAAGGUUUUAUUAUUGUAAUUAUAUAGAUACUAAAAUAGUUAAUUUUAUAAGUUUAUUUAGUUAAACAAGAAUUAGAUACUCUUUUAUAGAUAAAUUUAUUUUUUGUUUUCUCAGUUUUAACUGAAAGAAAUUGGCAGCUGAUUAUGUCCUUCUAGGGGAGUGUGUGUUUUAAGAGAUGUUCCACUUAUUAUUUUACUAUAGAUAGUUUGUUAGUGUAUAUCCGGUUUAGUUAUAUAAAAUAAAUGUUUUGUGUAAAAAUUAAUAUUUUUAAUCCAGGUCGAUAUGCUGCUAAUUUUAUAGUUAACAUUCGCUACAUUAUAAGAUUGUAAAAUGAAAAUAUUUAUGUUUUUAGGACUUAGAAGUAUUAUGAAAUUUUAGUUAGUUCAUGAGAAUAAGGUUUGAUUGGGGUACACAUCGCCCGUCAUCUUCGAUUAUUAGUU